rnacentral:pre_miRNA from 1 species
CGACUACUCCCUCUGUCCCAAAUUUCUUGUCUUAGAUUUGUCUAGAUAUGGAUGUAUCUGUGACUUGAUACAUCUGUAUCUAGACAAAUCUAAGACAAGAAUUUUGGGACAGAGGGAGUACUUU